CUGCUUCUGUCCCAGUUCACAGAUGAGUUCCAGGCAGGAAGACAGCUCUGGGCAGAGGAGGUGACUCUGUGAAAGAUGCUAUCUUAAGAUGGGGAGACUAGGCUGUGAGGAGCCCCUUCCCCUCUCCUCCUCCCUCUGCCCCCAGAGCUGGCGUCAUUCCAGGGAGGGUCAAGAUGUCCAUUCACAUCAAGCUGGGCUUUUCUUAUCUCCAUCGCUCAUGUCUUGUCCUUCACUUUCAUAGUCCUCCAAGAACAAAACCCGGAAUAGACACUCCCAGCCUCUAGCUCACAAAGGCCCCACUAUUAAUUUCAUCCUCACGGUCUCUCUGGCAGUGUAGACAUCAUGCUAUCUGCACACUUGCUCCAGUCCCUAUUCCCAGAUCCCCAAUCCAGCAGAAGCCAAGAGGUCCAAUCCUGAGGGUAGGGAGAGAAAAAACCCACCCCGUGCCUUUUGGCCCAUGGCAAGCAGGAGGCCUCCUUAGGAAGAGGGCCACUGACCCUGGAACAAGAAAGGACGAUGAGGGCAAUGCUCAUAAAUUUGAAGCCAGGCGGGGAGGCACCGGAAAGGGGCCAAGGGAGGCUCUCAACUAGCCUCUUACUUCCUUCAUGGAGCCCAAGAAGGAGCAGGAACCCAGCUCAGUAGGACGCCCCCAAGCCUUGGCGCCAGCUGCUUUGGGGAGGGAUCUCCCUACAGGAAGCCUGGUGCAAACAUUAACUUCGCUCCUAAAGCACGGACCAGCCGUUGGAGCCCCCAAAUCCAGUAGGGGGUGGACUCAUUUUUAUUCUACAUUUUUCAUUGCCUCAGUGUGUCCCUGCCCCCCACCACCCCCUGCCAAGGGUAAUGUGUGAACAGCAGAGUUGCAGUGGAUUGGGGGGUGGGAGGAGGUUUGUCCAAAUGACCCAGGCACACUGCUGUUCAUGCCAGGCUCAUCCAUAUAGACAUAUAAGUACAACACACACAGACAAGAGGCAGGCAUCUCCAUCCCAAACAACAUGAUUCUUGGCACCAAGUAGCACCAGUGCCCAAGAAAGAAAUCAGUAUAAUGAAACCAAGGAGUACAUCCAUUCAUCAGCCCUGCUGCCUUCCAAUUCUCAUAGAAAAUAGAGGAAGGAUGAAAGGGUCUGCGGACAAUUUGGAGAAAGCAUAUCUAGUCAGUGUCAUGGUGCCAUGGGGGAACUGCAGGAAUCACACUAGCCCCAAUGCCCAAAAUGACAGGGAAGUGAUCCAAUUUUAGGGCAAGCUCUGGAGCUCCCAGAUCUAAGGGCUGGAGCACUAAUUAUCUGCUGACACACAGCCCACCCCCGGCCCCAGCCCAUUCCCUGCCUCACACUCAGAAAACAGGAUAGAAAGCUUAAACAGGGUCAGUCUCUGCAAGCUUUGGGAUCCUUAACCCUUAGUAGCCCUUCAGAACAAGAAAGUAGACAGGGGAGAAGGAUGGAUGGAGGGAGGGGGACGAGCUGUAGGAGGGGAUUGGUGCCAGAAGGCAGGGAUAAGGAGCGGCAGCUGCAGAGAGUGGUGGGGGAAAAACUACAAGGAAAGAAGGGAGGAAAGACGAUUGCAGAUCUAAGAAAGCAGCAGAGGGAAACAAGCUUUUACUGCGUCCAGACUCAGGCUUCAACAUUUUAGGAUCAAUAUGACUUUCCCCCAUUUCAUACCAAUGGAGAAACUGAGGCUGAGUGAGAUUAAAUGGCUUGUGCAGGGUCAGGUCUGUAGAGCCCAGUCUCUUUCCCCUAAACCACAAACCUCUGAGAAAGAAUAAAGCAGUAGAGGAGGACAGGGCGGGGCAGAAUCAGGGGACAGUUAAAGGAUGUGCAUAGGACAAGGAGUAGCCACACUACCUGAUUUUCAGAAAGCAAGGGCAAAGGUCACCACCAGCACCACGAUGAUGC
rnacentral:lncRNA from 1 species